rnacentral:lncRNA from 1 species
UGCUCCUCAUCGUCCCUUGGAUGGACGGUGUUUGAGGGAGUCUCAUGUAGCUUCCCUCCCACCACCCAAGACAUGUUCUUGUGCCUCGGCUCUCUUUGCCUCUGCAUCUGCAUGCACAGGUCUGAGAUCAUAGGUGUGUGCCUUAGGCUUGGAUUCUUUUCUCUUCUUUUUUAAUAAAAGAGAGUCCUACACUGUAGGUCAGGCUGACCUGGACAUCAUUAGUUAUUACGUAGCCCAGGCUGGACUUGAAUUUGUGGCCCUUCUCUGGACUCAGCUUCCUGAUUCAUAGGAUUGCAGAUGUGUCCCAGCAGCCCCAUAACUAACUCCAAAUGAGUUUCGUUUUCACUUUCGUUUUGUUUCUGUAAUUGUUAGUGUUAACUGUCCAUUGUCAGAAUCUAGGCUCAUAUGAGAGCUGGGCCUUGGCCAUGCUGUGGGAGGUCGUCUUGCUUAGGUUUACUAAGGUAAGUGGGAGCACUGGGGGUGGGGGGGGAUGUCAUUGCUUGUGCUGGGACCACUGUGCCCCCUAACUGUGACCAGCUGCUUCAGGCUGCUUCUGCUUUCACCCACUGCCGUGAUGGUGUGAGAUGGCCUCAGAAGCCAGGAGAGUGCUGGGCUCCUUGGAAGUGGAAUAAAGAAGCUAUGACCCACCGUAUGGAUUUCAGUGCUCCUGUCUUCCGUCGGUGA